GACGAACGCUGGCGGCGUGCCUAAUACAUGCAAGUAGAACGCUGAAGGAGGAGCUUGCUCUUCUGGAUGAGUUGCGAACGGGUGAGUAACGCGUAGGUAACCUGCCUGGUAGCGGGGGAUAACUAUUGGAAACGAUAGCUAAUACCGCAUAAGAGUAGAAGUUGCAUGACAUUUGCUUAAAAGGUGCAAUUGCAUCACUACCAGAUGGACCUGCGUUGUAUUAGCUAGUUGGUGGGGUAACGGCUCACCAAGGCGACGAUACAUAGCCGACCUGAGAGGGUGAUCGGCCACACUGGGACUGAGACACGGCCCAGACUCCUACGGGAGGCAGCAGUAGGGAAUCUUCGGCAAUGGACGGAAGUCUGACCGAGCAACGCCGCGUGAGUGAAGAAGGUUUUCGGAUCGUAAAGCUCUGUUGUAAGAGAAGAACGAGUGUGAGAGUGGAAAGUUCACACUGUGACGGUAUCUUACCAGAAAGAGACGGCUAACUACGUG
rnacentral:rRNA from 1 species